rnacentral:rRNA from 1 species
CCUACGGGCGGCAGCAGUGGGGAAUAUUGGACAAUGGGGGGAACCCUGAUCCAGCCAUGCCGCGUGUGUGAAGAAGGCCCUCGGGUUGUAAAGCACUUUCAGUGAGGAAGAACGCCUGGUGGUUAAUACCCAUCAGGAAAGACAUCACUCACAGAAGAAGCACCGGCUAACUCCGUGCCAGCAGCCGCGGUAAUACGGAGGGUGCGAGCGUUAAUCGGAAUUACUGGGCGUAAAGCGCGCGUAGGUGGCUUGAUAAGCCGGUUGUGAAAGCCCCGGGCUCAACCUGGGAACGGCAUCCGGAACUGUCAAGCUAGAGUGCAGGAGAGGAAGGUAGAAUUCCCGGUGUAGCGGUGAAAUGCGUAGAGAUCGGGAGGAAUACCAGUGGCGAAGGCGGCCUUCUGGACUGACACUGACACUGAGGUGCGAAAGCGUGGGUAGCAAACAGGAUUAGAUACCCUAGUAGUU